GCCUGGGUGGUUCAGUCGGUUGAGCGUCUGACUUCUGCUCAGGUCGUGAUCUCAAGCUUGUGAGUUCAAGCCCCGCGUCAGGCU
rnacentral:tRNA from 1 species